rnacentral:rRNA from 1 species
AGCGAACGCUGGCGGCAGGCAUAACACAUGCAAGUCGAGCGGCCGUAGCAAUACGGCAGCGGCAGACGGGAGAGUAACACGUGGGAACGCGCCCUUCGGUUCGGGAUAACCCAGGGAAACUUGGGCUAAUACCGGAUACGCCCUUACGGGGAAAGAUUUAUUGCCGAAGGAACGGCCCGCGUCCGAUUAGCUAGUUGGUGAGGUAAUGGCUCACCAAGGCGACGAUCGGUAGCUGGUCUGAGAGGAUGACCAGCCUCACUGGGACUGAGACACGGCCCAGACUCCUACGGGAGGCAGCAGUGGGGAAUAUUGGACAAUGGGCGCAAGCCUGAUCCAGCCAUGCCGCGUGGGUGAUGAAGGCCCUAGGGUUGUAAAGCCCUUUCAGCGGGGAAGAUAAUGACGGUACCCGCAGAAGAAGCCCCGGCUAACUUCGUGCCAGCCGCCGCCGUAA